UACGUAGGCAGCAAGCGUUGUUCGGAAUUACUGGGCGUAAAGAGUGUGUAGGCGGUGCUCUAAGUUCGGUGUGAAAUCUCCCGGCUCAACUGGGAGGGUGCGCCGGAAACUGGAGUGCUGGAGCGCGGGAGAGGAAAGCGGAAUUCCUGGUGUAGCGGUGAAAUGCGUAGAUAUCAGGAGGAACACCGGCGGUGUAGACGGCUAUCUGGACGGUUACUGACGCUGAGACACGAAAGCGUGGGUAGCAAACAGG
rnacentral:rRNA from 1 species